rnacentral:misc_RNA from 1 species
GAAAACUAAAUGGCCUGGCCGUGUAAAGCUCCCUCACGACAUGGCCUGGCCAUGUUGACAUAGAGAUCUGCUUACCCAGAUUGACUUGUUUUAUUUCUUAGUUUUAUUAUUUUUAAUUUUUUUAGGAUUUGUUUCCUUUAUUUUGUAGAAGUUUAAUUCCUUAUUAGUUUAUGAUUUGUGUAUUUUAUUCCUAUUUAGUUUAGGAUUAGAAUGCCUUUAAAUACUCCUGUAUUGUAUUCAAUAUACAGAUUUUUCCUUCAAUAAAUCUGCAUUUGCUUUAUUUUAUCCUUGGAGUUUGGAUUGAAUCUUGUCUUUCUAAGAUCCUGGAUUGGAUCUUGUUUAUUUGUUCAAAGAUUUGAUUAUGUGUCAAGCCUUCACUAUGCUACACGCCGCAUUGGUUUCAGUCGCAAUGCCACU